rnacentral:rRNA from 1 species
UACAGAGGGUGCAAGCGUUAAUCGGAAUUAUUGGGCGUAAAGCGCACGUAGGUGGAUGAAUAAGUUGGAUGUGAAAGCCCCGGGCUUAACCUGGGAAUUGCAUUCAAGACUGUUCGUCUAGAGUAUGGGAGAGGGAAGUGGAAUUUCUGGUGUAGCGGUGAAAUGCGUAGAUAUCAGAAGGAACAUCAGUGGCGAAGGCGACUUCCUGGCCUAAUACUGACACUGAGGUGCGAAAGCGUGGGGAGCAAACAGG